rfam:Candidate division WOR-3 bacterium 4484_100 ex4484_100_scaffold_1478, whole genome shotgun sequence.
GUCCAAGUUACUAAGGGCACAUGGUGGAUGCCUUGGCAUCUGGAGGCGAUGAAGGGCGUGGUAGGCUGCGUUAAGCGUCGGGUAGGUGCGAACAACCUUUGACCCGGCGAUGCCCGAAUGGGAAAACCCAUCCUGUUGAAAGACAGGAUAUCCAGUCUUUAUGGCUGGAGGCGAACCAGGGGAAGUGAAACAUCUCAGUACCCUGAGGAAAAGAUAUUUCGAGAGUAGCGGCGAGCGAAAUCGAAACAGCCCAAACCGAACUGCAUGUUCAAGCGGGCAAGCGUUGUGCAGUCGGUGUAGUGGGGUUCAGUCGAACCCGAUUUGCCCUGAGGGUUGUGGAGUUACAAAAUCUUGGGAUAGCCGAAAUGUCCUGGAAAGGCAUACCAUAGAUUGUGAUAGUCAAGUAGGCGAAAUCCUCAAGAUCUCCAUUGACUGAAUUCCCAAAUACCACGAGAUAGGUUAUCUCGUGGGAAUCUGCCCAAACCACUGGGUAAGGCUAAAUACUCCCGGAUGACCGAUAGUGAACCAGUACCGUGAGGGAAAGGUGAAAAGAACCCCUGGCGGGGAGUGAAAUAGAACCUGAAACCAUGUGUCUACAAUCAGCAGGAAUUUUGAUCUCUUGGAAGUAAUUCCGAGAGGCCAUCAAAAUGACUGCGUGCCUUUUGCAUAAUGAGCCGGCGAGUUACCCUAACCUGCGAGCUUAAUCCUGCUACGAAAGUAUCAGGAGUAGGCAUAGGGAAACCGAGUCUGAAUAGGGCGAUUUAGUAGGUUGGGAUACGACCCGAAACCCGGUGAGCUACCCAUGGUCAGGAUGAAGUUCCGGUGACACGGAAUGGAGGUCCGAACCGGUGGAUGUUGAAAUAUCCUCGGAUGAACUGUGGGUAGGAGUGAAAGGCUAACCAAACCGGGUGAUAGCUGGUUCUCCCCGAAAUGCUUCUAGGAGCAGUCUUGGAUGUUCAGUAGUAGUGGUAGAGCACUGAAUAGAGGAGGACCCUUCGGGGUUCAAAUCCAAUCAAACUCCUAAUGCUACUACUUCACAGUCCAGGAAAGAGGCAGUGGGGGAUAAGCUCCAUUGCCGAGAGGGGAAUAACCCAGACCGCCAGCUAAGGUCCCUAAGAAUUGAUUAAGUGGGAAAGGAUGUAAAGUGACUUAAACACCUGGGAUGUUGGCUCAGAGGCAGCCAUCAUUUAAAGAGUGCGUAACAGCUCACCAGCCGAGCCACUUUGCGCCGAAAAUAUACCGGGGCUCAAAUCAAUCACCGAAGCUGCGGACCUGUAUCGCUUAGAUACAGGUGGUAGGGGAGCGUUCCAUUGUAGGCCGAAGUCUCACCGCGAGGUGGGGUCGACGAAAUGGAAGUGAUUAUGCCGGCAUAAGUAGCGAUAAUCUCGGUGAAAAACCGGGACACCGUAAGCCCAAGGGUUCCUGGGGAAGGUUAAUCCGCCCAGGGUUAGUCGGUGCCUUAGUCGAGGCCGAAAGGCGUAGGCGAUGGGAAAGCCGUUAAUAUUCGGCUACCACCUUAGUUUCGUUAUGAACUAUGGGGGGACGCUGAUGCUACGGGUGGGUCCUGUGUUGGAAUACAGGAUCUAAACAUCUCAAGUGAGACUUCAGGCAAAUCCGAAGUCUCUUAAUCUUGAGAUGUGAUGGGGAGACCCAAAAGGGUCACAAACCCACCCUGAGAAUCAGCCGAGAAAAGCCUCUAUGUCAGAAACUAAGGUGACCGUACCGGAAACGGACACACGUGGGCGAGGUGAAUAUCCUAAGGUGCUCGGGUGAACCCUCGUUAAGGAACUCGGCAAUCUAACCCCGUACCUUCGGUAGAAGGGGUCCCCACUUCGGUGGGGCGCAGUGAAAGGGCUCUAGCGACUGUUUAACAAAAACACAGGUCUCUGCUAAGCCGUAAGGCAAAGUAUAGGGACUGACACCUGCCCGGUGCCAGAAGGUUAAGGAAGGAUGUUAUUCCCGGGAUGAACUUCGGUUUAGCCCGGGAAGAAGCUUCUGACCGAAGCCCUGGCAAACGGCGGCCGUAACUCUAACGGUCCUAAGGUAGCAUAAGCUGCCUGAAUUCAGCUGUAUGCGGGAAAAUCCUUAGAGCCUUGACUACGAGGUUAAAGUUAUUAACCCGUAAAAAUGUCAAGGAUUGGAUAAUCCGCAGGAAAUUCUGCUGAAGCAGAAGAUCCUCAGAGGCCAUACGCUGAGCAUUUAGUUCCUUAGGAGGUAUUAUGAAACUCAGUGAGGACUGGAUUAUAGGUUUUGUUGACGGUGAAGGAUGUUUUCAUAUAUCAGUUCUCAGGCAUCCUGAAAUGAAUACAGGAUAUCAAGUUCUUCCUGAAUUUACAGUUGUCCAACACGAACGGGACAAGCAAAUUCUUUAUGCCUUAAAAUCCUACUUCAAAUGCGGUGUUGUGCGAAAAAAUCGUGGUGACCGAUGGUGCUAUCGAAUUCGUAAACUCAGCUGUCUUGAAACUCUAUGCAACUUCUUCAGCAAACACCCUUUAAAGACGAAGAAGAAUGUUGAUUACAUAAAAUUCCGACGGAUUAUUCAAGAUAUGAUACAGGGAAAACAUCUUACGAAGGAAGGUUUGAAGAAGAUUAUUAAAACCGCUAUGACAAUGAAUACCGCAGACAGAAAGAAACUUCUCCAAAUCAAACAAAACCUGGGAAUUAAAUGAAGAGAUGGUCCACACCAUAACGAAAGUUAUGGAGUAUGUGAGCGAAAUUCCUUGGCGGGUAAGUUCCGUCCUGCACGAAUGGUGUAACGACUAGAGCGCUGUCUCGACGAGGGGCCCGGCGAAAUUGUAGUGGCGGUGAAGAUGCCGCCUACCCGUGAUAGGACAAAAAGACCCCGUGAACCUUUACUGCAACUUGCUAUUGGAUCUUUGCUGAACAUGUGUAGCAUAGGUGGGAGGCUUUGAAGCCUCGGCGUCAGCUGGGGUGGAGCCGCCAGUGAAAUACCACCCUUGUUCUGUCAGGGGUUCUAAUCCGCUAUGUGGAAUAGCGGAGACAGUGGCAGGCGGGCAGUUUGACUGGGGCGGUCGCCUCCUAAAAGGUAACGGAGGCGCCCAAAGGUUCCCUCAGUCCGGUCGGUAAUCGGACAUUGAGUGUAAGGGCAUAAGGGAGCCUGACUGUGAGGCCGACAGGCCGAGCAGACAGGAAACUGGGGCCUAAUGAUCCGGUGGUUCCGUGUGGAAGGGCCAUCGCUCAGCGGAUAAAAGGUACUCCGGGGAUAACAGGCUGAUCGGGCUCGAGAGUUCAUAUCGACGGCCCGGUUUGGCACCUCGAUGUCGGCUCAUCGCAUCCUGGGGCUGGACAAGGUCCCAAGGGUUGGUCUGUUCGCCCAUUAAAGCGGUACGUGAGCUGGGUUCAGAACGUCGUGAGACAGUUCGGACUCUAUCCAUCACGGGCGUAGGAGACUUGAGAGGAGCUGUCCUUAGUACGAGAGGACCAGGAUGGACGGACCUCUGGUGUACGAGUUGUUGCGCCAGCAGCAGCGCUCGGUAGCUAUGUCCGGAAGGGAUAACCGCUGAAAGCAUCUAAGUGGGAAGCCCACCUUAAGAUAAGGUCUCCCGUUCCUUAGGUGGCAACACCAAAAGGACCUGAAGACUACCCGUAGAUGACGGGUUAUAUAGGCCACAGGUGUAAGUGCAGCAAUGCAUUGAGCCGAGUGGUACUAAUCAGUCGUGCGACUUGGAUUU